GACUCCGUGGCCAAGUUGGUUAAGGCGCGCGACUGUUAAUCGCGAGAGCGUGAGUUCGAUCCUCACCGGGGUCG
rnacentral:tRNA from 1 species